UGGGGUGACCAACCAUCCCGGUUUGCCUGGGACUCUCUUAGUUUUACCACGGAACUUUUCCGUCCUAGGAAAACCGGGAUGGUUGGUCACCCAAUACCUGC
rnacentral:pre_miRNA from 1 species